AGUCUCCAGUUUACAGUGUGGACUCUCCAGAAAAUCACACAGCUGCUUCACUCCUGAAUCCUGCAGGUUGUUCUUACUCAGCUCCAGCUCUCUCAGAUGGGAGGGGUUGGACUUCAGAGCUGAGGCCAGUGAAACACAGCUGAUCUCUGACAAACUGC